rnacentral:rRNA from 1 species
GUUGGGUUUGCCGCUCUCGAGCGGGUCAGAAAACAACAAGCUGCAUGGACCACAUGGCUCAAAGCGGGUGACGCAAAAACAACAUCUUUCCAGGCAAACAUCAACUCUCGGCGGAGGAAAAACUUCAUCCAUUGCCUAGAGUCGGAGAGCAAGCAAGCAACGGACCACAAAGAGAAGGCGAGCAUGAUCCAUGACCACUUCACAGCUCUCCUGGGCAAUAAGGAGCGAAGGGCGAAAACAAGCAAUUGGGACAUGAUUAAGCUAUCUCGCCUGCAAACGGGGGAAGGCCUCGACAAUCCCUUCACAGAGGAAGAAGUAUGGGCGGCAAUAUGCGCGUCUCCGGCAGAGAAGGCGCCAGGGCCCGACGACUUCAGUGGUGUCUUCUUCCGUGCCUACUGGCAAACAAUCAAGAUGGACAUCAUGGCAGUUUUCCACGCUUUCUAUCAGCUCGCUGAAGGCGACUUUGCAGCCCUGAACCAUGCACUAAUCGUCCUUCUGCCAAAGAAGGAUGGUGCAACAAAAUUGUCUGACUCCCGCCCAAUUAGUCUAAUACAUUCGGUGGCCAAGUUCAUCGCCAAACUCCUCUCAAUCAGGCUAAUGGGCGUGUUGCUUCAGCUCAUCUCCCCUGCCUAG